AGGGACUGAUCUACAAAAAUAUCAAUCAAAGGAAGCAUGACUUGAAAAAAGAUGACAUGAGCAUGGAGGCAAUGGCAGAUUCAAGGAAUUAUGCUACUGAGAGGGUCAUAAAAAAGGAAGAAAAGGAAAGUCAAGAAGAUGUGGUAACAAUAGGAAAACAACCAAUACUACAAAAAUGACAAAAUGGAAUAUCAAAAGGAAUAAAUGAAACCCUAGAGAGAUAGCAGCCGCCUCUAUCAUUGAAGGAAAUAGAGAGAGAAAUAAAACUUGCUCUCUCAAUAAAGGAGAAGGAGAAAG